GAUGAACGCUAGCGGCAGGCCUAAUACAUGCAAGUCGAACGGUGUCUUCGGACAUAGUGGCGCACGGGUGCGUAACACGUAUGCAACCUACCUUACAUUGGGGGAUAGCCUUUCGAAAGGGAGAUUAAUACCGCAUAAGACAGUAGCUGGGCAUCCAGCAGCUGUUAAAGAUUUAUCGAUGUAAGCUGGGCAUGCGUCCAAUUAGCUAGUUGGUGAGGUAACGGCUCACCAAGGCAAUGUUGGGUAGGGGAACUGAGAGGUCAAUCCCCCACACUGGCACUGAGAUACGGGCCAGACCCCUACGGGAGGCAGCAGUAGGGAAUAUUGGACAAUGGACGCAAGUCUGACCCAGCCAUGCCGCGUGCAGGAUGAAGGCGUUAUGCGUUGUAAACUGCUUUUAUACAGGAAGAAACAACUCUUGCGAGAGGCAUUGACGGUACUGUAUGAAUAAGCACCGGCUAACUCCGUGCCAGCAGCCGCGGUAACAC
rnacentral:rRNA from 1 species